rnacentral:lncRNA from 1 species
ACAGCCAUGGAGCAAGCUAUGAUGCCUAUUCUCCUUCCUCUUCUUUUCCUUCAUCUUGCAUUUUGUGUGUGUGUGUUCAAAGGAGUGUAUUCAUUUUUUCCUUUGUUUUACUGAGAUAGAAUUCACAUACCAUACAAUUCACCUGUUUUAAAGUAUGUACUUUAAUGGUUUUACUAUAUCCACAGAGUUGCAUAACCAUCACCACAAUCAAUUUUAGAACAUUUUAUUCACCUCUAUCCUUUAGCAGUCACUCUUCAUUUUUCUCCAGCUUCAUUCCCACCCCCAACCCCAACCCUCAGAAACUACUAAUCUCCUUUCUGCUUCUAUAAAUUUGCCUACCAUGGACAUUUAAUAUAAAUGAAAUCGUACAAUGGGUAGUCUUUUGUGUCUGCUUUAUUUCACUUAGCAUAAUAUGUUUAAGAUGUGCCAAGGUAUUUACAUCUCAGCAGGGCUAGGCAGACCUGCAGUCUAAGUGUUAGGAGCAUUAGCAUUAGUCCAUUUAUCUAAACUACUGAAAUUUUUCCUUCUGCUCACCAAAGACUUCAAAGAAAUUUAAUAAAGGUAUUUUUUCUGCCUAAAUAUAUACUUUGGCAAUUUGAUUUUGUUUUAAAGUAGGAUAAUUACAUUUUCUCCAUCCAUUCUGUGAAUCACAGCUCCCUUGUGAAUUCCUUUGAAAACCCUGAUGAGGAAUGGAAGAUGUUUAGGAGAGUUGGGAGUGGACCUGGGAAAUAUAAUUCCAAGACGCAUUAGAGAUAAAUGGACAAAGACAGUUUAC